rnacentral:rRNA from 1 species
UUAAAGGGCUGCAGUAUAUUGACUGUACAAAGGUAGCAUAAUCAUUAGUCUCUUAAUUGGUGACUUGUAUGAAUGAUUUGAUGAAAUAUAAACUGUCUCUAAUUUAUUAAAUAAAAUUUAAUUUUUUAAUUAAAAAGUUAAAAUAAAUUUAAAAGACGAGAAGACCCUAUAGAGUUUAAUAAAUUAAUUAGUUAAAAAAAUUUAUAUAUUGAAUAGUUAAAAUUAAUUUGAUUUAUUUUGUUGGGGUGAUAAAAAAAUAAAAAAAACUUUUUUUAUAAUUAUAUAAACAUAGAUAAUUGAGUAAAUGAUCCAAAAUUUUUGAUUAUAAGAAAAAAUUACCUUAGGGAUAACAGCGUAAUUUUUUUUUUUAGUUCA